rnacentral:snRNA from 1 species
GGCUGUCCGGAUGAUCUAGCUACGACAUCUGUCCCCCCCACUGAUACUGAUCACCAGGGUUGAUUUGGCUGAUCUUACUAGGCAGGUGUCUCCUUCCUCUCUCACUACUCCAUGAAUAUCCCUUCUAUAGCUGUGUGCUCAUUUGAAGAGGACAACCUUCUACAAAUAGAGGAGGACUGGUCUUCAGUCAAGGAUGUACAAGCAGUACCCAGUGGCAGUCUCUGAUAUAAACUGUAUUUUAGGGUAAACCCAAAUUGCCCUAGGUGAUGAACUAAAGGCUUUCUUU